rnacentral:piRNA from 1 species
UUCCUGGGACUCAUCGGAUGGCUAGCCUA